rnacentral:ncRNA from 1 species
AAAGAGUUUGAUUCUUGCUUUUUUGUUCAUUUUUUGUUUGUUUUAUAUGUAAGUUUUUGCGUGAUUUUUGUUUACUUCUUAAUGGAUGUAAGCUUUUAUUUAUUGUAAUUUUAAUUCUCAUUAUUUUUUAUUAUUGUUCAAAGUUUUUUGUAUUUAGCAAUUCAUUUUAGUUCCGGUUAAAUUUUGUGCCAGCAUCCGCGGUUAUACUUUGGGGGCUUAUGAAUAUGUUUGGAUUUAGGUAGUUGUAUGUUUUUAUUUAUUGAAUUUAUUGGUUUUGUUUUUAGGUGAAAUUUUUAUUUUUUGUAAUUUCUUUUAUUGUUUUGGAUUAUGGCUAUGAAACUUUUUAUUUAGACUAGGAUUAGAUACCCUAUUAUUUUUGAGUGUUAAUUUAUUUUCUUAGGUAGUAUUAGUUAUGUUCUUGAAACCUAAAGAAUUUGGCGGUACCUUAUUCCGAUCAGAGGAAUCUGCCCUGUUAUCGAUAAUCCGCGUUGUACCUUACUUAGUUGUUUAUUGUUUGUAUACCGCCGUAUAUUGAUUAUCAUUUUAGUGUUUUUAAAUUUUCUUGAUUCAUAAUUUUGUUUUAUUUCAGGUCAAGGUGCAGCUUGUGUCUAAGUGUGAGGUGGAUUACAUUGAUUAUUUUGUUUAUUGGAUUAUUUGUUGUUAGAUUUUUAUGAAAUUGGAUUUGAUUGUAAUGUUUUGAUGAAGAUUGUUCUCAUGAUAUUUGGUUCUAAGGUAUGUACACAUCGCCCGUCGCUCUCGUUUAUUGUUAAUGAGAUAAGUCGUAACAAAGUGGUCGUACCGGAAGGUGCGGCUGGAUUGAG